rnacentral:rRNA from 1 species
UACGUAGGUGGCAAGCGUUGUCCGGAAUUAUUGGGCGUAAAGCGCGCGCAGGCGGUCCUUUAAGUCUGAUGUGAAAGCCCACGGCUCAACCGUGGAGGGUCAUUGGAAACUGGGGGACUUGAGUGCAGAAGAGGAAAGCGGAAUUCCACGUGUAGCGGUGAAAUGCGUAGAGAUGUGGAGGAACACCAGUGGCGAAGGCGGCUCUCUGGUCUGUAACUGACGCUGAGGCGCGAAAGCGUGGGGAGCAAACAGG